rnacentral:rRNA from 1 species
UACGUAGGUGGCGAGCGUUGUCCGGAAUUACUGGGCGUAAAGAGCGCGCAGGCGGCUGGUCAAGUCCGACGUGAAAUCUCCCGGCUUAACUGGGAAAUUGCAUCGGAAACUGAUCGGCUUGAAGGUGGGAGAGGGUAGCGGAAUUCCCGGUGUAGUGGUGAAAUGCGUAGAGAUCGGGAGGAAGACCGGUGGCGAAGGCGGUCUGCUGGGCAGUUUCUGACACUGAGGCGCGACAGCGUGGGGAGCAAACAGG